CGGACGGGUGAGUAACGCGUGGGUAACCUGCCUUGUACUGGGGGACAACAGUUAGAAAUGACUGCUAAUACCGCAUAAGCGCACAGUAUCGCAUGAUACCGUGUGAAAAACUCCGGUGGUACAAGAUGAACCCGCGUCUGAUUAGCUAGUUGGUAAGGUAACGGCUUACCAAGGCGACGAUCAGUAGCCGGACUGAGAGGUUGACCGGCCACAUUGGGACUGAGAUACGGCCCAG
rnacentral:rRNA from 1 species